UACAGAGGGUGCGAGCGUUAAUCGGAAUUACUGGGCGUAAAGCGCACGUAGGUGGCGACGUAAGUCGGGUGUGAAAGCCCCGGGCUCAACCUGGGAAUUGCAUUCGAGACUGCAUUGCUGGAGUACGGAAGAGGAGGGCGGAAUUCCCGGUGUAGCGGUGAAAUGCGUAGAUAUCAGGAGGAAUACCGAUGGCGAAGGCAGGUCUCUGGGCUGACACUGACGCUCAUGCACGAAAGCGUGGGGAGCAAACAGG
rnacentral:rRNA from 1 species